rnacentral:SRP_RNA from 1 species
GCUGGGCGUGGUGGCUCACACCUGUAAUCCCAGCACUUUGGGAGGCCGAGGUGGGUGGAUCACUUGAGCCCAGGAAUUCAAGACUAGCCUGGGCAACAUAGUGAGACCCCAUCUCUA